rnacentral:lncRNA from 1 species
UGUAACACCCUUAAUUUUUACCCUUUAAUUUUAUUUGUAAAAUGUCUCUUUAAUAAAAAUGCAGCGGAAACAAAAUCAUAAACAAAACUAAUUUGUCCGAAAGAUUCAAAUUACUAAGGUAAACACCACGGUUCAAUUUAAAAAUUCGUAAAGCAAUAAAACAACUAAAAUAAAAUUUAGAGUUCCCCCAUAGGACUUCCUAGCAGAGCGACUCAAUUAUUGAAAACACAAAAGGAAGACAGCUCCUAAU